GACGAACGCUGGCGGCGUGCCUAAUACAUGCAAGUCGAACGCAGUGGGGACGGGUGAGUAACACGUGGGUAACCUCCCAUCAGAGGGGAUAACACUUGGAAACCGGUGCUAAACCGAUACUGAUGGAUGGACCCGCGGUGCAUUAGCUAGUUGGUGAGGUGACGGCUCACAAAGGCCACGAUGCAUAGACGACCUUGUGAGGGGAUCUGCCAAACGGGGACAGGGACACGGCCCAGAACCCCACGGGAGGGAGCAGUGGGGUAUCUUCGGGAAUGGACGAAAGGCUGACCGAGGAACGCCGCGGGAGUGAAGAAGGUUUUCGGAUCAUAAAACUCUGUUGUUAGAGAAGCGGUAUCUAACCAGAAAGCCACGGCUAACUACGUGCCAGCAGCCGCGGUAAUAC
rnacentral:rRNA from 1 species